AGUGAACGCUGGCGGUAGGCCUAACACAUGCAAGUCGAACGGCAGCACAGUAAGAGCUUGCUCUUACGGGUGGCGAGUGGCGGACGGGUGAGGAAUACAUCGGAAUCUACUUUUUCGUGGGGGAUAACGUAGGGAAACUUACGCUCAUACCGCAUACGACCUACGGGUGAAAGCAGGGGAUCUUCGGACCUUGCGCGAUUGAAUGAGCCGAUGUCGGAUUAGCUAGUUGGCGGGGUAAAGGCCCACCAAGGCGACGAUCCGUAGCUGGUCUGAGAGGAUGAUCAGCCACACUGGAACUGAGACACGGACAAGACUCCUACGGGAGGCAGCAGUGGGGAAUAUUGGACAAAGGGGGCAAGCCUGAUCCAGCAAUACCGCGUGGGUGAAGAAGGCCUUCGGGUUGUAAAGCCCUUUUGUUGGGAAAGAAAAGCAGCAGGUUAAUACCCAGCUGUUCUGACGGUACCCAAAGAAUAAGCACCGGCUAACUUCGUG
rnacentral:rRNA from 1 species